GGUAACCUGCCCAUCAGAGGGGGAUAACAUUCGGAAACGGAUGCUAAAACCGCAUAGGUCUUCGAACCGCAUGGUUUGAAGAGGAAAAGAGGCGCAAGCUUCUGCUGAUGGAUGGACCCGCGGUGCAUUAGCUAGUUGGUGAGGUAACGGCUCACCAAGGCCGUGAUGCAUAGCCGACCUGAGAGGGUGAUCGGCCACAUUGGGACUGAGACACGGCCCAA
rnacentral:rRNA from 1 species